rnacentral:lncRNA from 1 species
GUUUUAUCACCAGGUUUAACGUACAUACUUUUUUACUUACAUUAAAAAAAAAAAAAAAAGUAGAGAAGACUGAGGCCCUUUUCUCUUUGAAUGUGCAGUAUUGCUGCAUGCUAUUAACACUGUUUCUGGCAAAUACCCGCAGAGUGGAUAGAGGAGGAUUGUUCUGUCAAAAUGCUGUGAACACAAACAUGUUUUUAGUGGGGUUUAUGAGCUAAAAUGAGAGCAGUGUGGGAUCCUGUACAGAGCAAUGGUCAGGGCUUAAACCAAAUCUCCAGUCCUCUUCCAUUGGAUUACUUCGUGACUCAUUUCCCCUCUGGUAAAUAACAUAUGAAAGUCUCUGUUAUGUCACAUUAAGUUUCACUUUCUCAGGUUCUUCCGGAGUCCUAUCAGUUCAGUUUUCCUGUGUUUGGCCACCUGACCAAAUCAUUCCAGCCUCAUCAGUGCUAGCAGACGUCCCUCCAGCAGAUGGCAGAUACUGCUCAUCCAAUGCAACCCCGACACCCUGCUCAGCACGUCAGCCCUGGGACCCGGAACACCAAUAAAACAGGAGCUAAAUCUUUAAUGGCCUGCUAAAAGCAGCUUCAUAGGUUUCUAUGGCUCCAUAUAUAUAUGACUGAAGAUGUAGACAUCUGGACCGAUGCUCCUGCUAGGGGCCAAGUGCUGCCAUCACUUUCUGCAAGAGCAUACAACAAGACCUCCC